rnacentral:rRNA from 1 species
GUGGGGAAUCUUGCGCAAUGGGCGAAAGCCUGACGCAGCCAUGCCGCGUGAAUGAUGAAGGUCUUAGGAUUGUAAAAUUCUUUCACCGGGGACGAUAAUGACGGUACCCGGAGAAGAAGCCCCGGCUAACUUCGUGCCAGCAGCCGCGGUAAUACGAAGGGGGCUAGCGUUGCUCGGAAUUACUGGGCGUAAAGGGCGCGUAGGCGGACAGUUUAGUCAGAGGUGAAAGCCCAGGGCUCAACCUUGGAAUUGCCUUUGAUACUGGCUGUCUUGAGUUUGGGAGAGGUGAGUUGAACUCCGAGUGUAGAGGUGAAAUUCGUAGAUAUUCGGAAGAACACCAGUGGCGAAGGCGACUCACUGGCCCAAUACUGACGCUGAGGCGCGAAAGCGUGGGGAGCAUACAGGAUUAGAUACCCGAGUAGUCC